GAUUCCGCCGGUGGAUUUUUAGCCCUGGUGGGUAGCUUCCCGGAAACGAAAGUCUUCCGGUUCCGGGGGAAGUAUGGUUGCAAAGCUGAAACUUAAAGGAAUUGACGGAAGGGCACCACCAGGAGUGGAGCCUGCGGCUUAAUUUGACUCAACACGGGGAAACUCACCCGGCCCGGACACCGUAAGGAUUGACAGAUUGAUAGCUCUUUCAUGAUUCGGUGGUUGGUGGUGCAUGGCCGUUCUUAGUUCGUGGAUCGAUUUGUCUGGUUUAUUCCGAUAACGAGCGAGACUCUAGCCUACUAAAUAGUAACGAGAUUAUCAAUGUCUCAGUUGCUUCUUAGAGGGAUUUUCGGUGUUUAGCCGCACGAGAUUGAGCAAUAACAGGUCUGUGAUGCCCUUAGAUGUCCGGGGCUGCACGCGCGCUACACUGGCGAAAUCAGCGUGCUGUAUCCAUUCUCGAAAGGGAUUGGUAAACCCAUGAAAAUUUGCCGUGCUUGGGAUCGGAAAUUGCAAUUAUUUUCCGUGAACGAGGAAUUCCAAGUAAGUGCGAGUCAUCCAACUCGCUCUG
rnacentral:rRNA from 1 species